rnacentral:rRNA from 1 species
UACGAAGGGGGCUAGCGUUGCUCGGAAUCACUGGGCGUAAAGGGUGCGUAGGCGGGUCUUUAAGUCAGGGGUGAAAUCCUGGAGCUCAACUCCAGAACUGCCUUUGAUACUGAGGAUCUUGAGUCCGGGAGAGGUGAGUGGAACUGCGAGUGUAGAGGUGAAAUUCGUAGAUAUUCGGAAGAACACCAGUGGCGAAGGCGACUAACUGGACAUGUAUUGACGCUGAGGUGCGAAAGCGUGGGGAGCAAACAGG